CUCCCAAUAAAGGGCUUAUCUUUAAAACAUUCCUUUUAAACUCUCUGUGGGGCUGGAGAGAUGGCUCAGUGGUUAAGAGCACUGGCUGCUCUUCCAGAGGAUAUGGGUUAGAUUCCCCGCAUCCACUUCUGGUGGCUCACACAAUCUGUAAUUCAUGCUCCCAUGUAUCAGACACCUUUUUCUGACCCCAAUGAACAUUGUAUACAAGUGGUGGUGCACAGACAUAUAUGCAGGCAAACUACCAACACACAUAAAAAUAAACAAGAAACAUUUUAAAGUCUUUCAAGAGAGAGUGAUUAGAUCCUCUGGAGCUUGGGUUACAGGCUGUAGUGAUCCAUCAGAAGUAGGUGCCGUAAUUUUUGCAAUGUGUGGGGGUCGAGGGGUGUUCAUGUGCACAAGAGUGAACAUGUGUACCACUAUCUGAGGAUACAAGGGAACCCCAGUACUAUCCUCAAGAAGGCCAUACACAUCCUUUGAAACAGAGUCUCUCUUUGGCCUGGAGUUUGUCAAUUAGGCUACACCAGCUCAGUUGCUAAAGUGAUAAAGUCUAUAAAAUACUUGCCUUUCGAGAACAAGGACCUUAAUGCUAUCCUCAGAACCCAGGGGACAGUGGGAAAGUCUCAAUCUGUAAAGUACUUGUCCCCUAAACAAGAUGCUCUGAAUUCAACCUCCCAAAUACACAUAAAAACUCCUGGAGAGGUAACCUAUAAUCCCACCUCUGGGGAGGCUGGACAACAGAAGCCCCAGCAGGUGCUGGCCAGCCAGACUAAGUAAAUCAUGAGCUCUUCAUUCAUCGUGUGAUUCUGUAUCAGAAAAAUAUGACAUUGAAGAUACCCCAAAUCAAUCUCUGACCUCUGUCUUUCUCUCUCUCUCUCUCUCUCUCUCUGUGUGUGUGUGUGUGUGUGUGUGUGUGUGUGUGUGUGUGUGUAUGUGUGUGUAUGUGUGUGUGUACAGUCUGAACACAAUCCAGGAAUGGAGCCAUGUGAGGAGAAUUCUGAGUAUUUAUAUGAACACUUCAAGAACAAAAGAGUCUUGUGAUCUCAGUUCCUUCAAAAUGUGGAAUUGUUCUUGGAAUGUGGUUUCAUGUUCCUCCCAGGUGUAGCAUAUAGAAAUGAGUUUACUUUGUAUUACCCAUUGUUUGCUGCCGUCUAUGGAAAAACAUGAUUUUGCCAUGUGCAGCUUGUCUUUGUGAUUGUAUACAGCCUGAACUUAUGAGAACUUUGCUCAAGUAAUUUUUAUUCACCCUCAGAGUAUAAAUCCUUUUGAUGCUCUGAAUAAAGCUGAUUACUGCACGAGACUUUACUCUGCUUCAUUUACCUGAUCUAUUCUCCUAGGUCCCACUACCUCUAGAGUGGACAGGUGGACACACACACACACACACACACACACACACACACACACACACACACACACACACACACACACACGAACGAAAUGCUGUGUUUGUUCUGCACCUGCAUGGUGGCUCACAACUGUCUGUUAACUCCAGUUCCAGGGGGAUAGAAACCCUCCUCCCUGACCUCCAGGCAUACCUACAGUGCACAGCUAACCAUGUGAGCAGAACAUUCAUACACAUAAAAUAAAACAAGUAAGUCUAUAUUUAAAAUGUUGGCACAGGGCUAGGGAGAUAGAGACAGGCAGAUUCCUAGGGUUUAUGCCUACAUGAGAGGUUCCAGGCCAAUGAGGGACCCUAACUAAAGAAAAAAAUGUAUAUAUAGCCUAAAGAAUGAUGUGGUCUAGGUCCUGCUCCAAAUGGCAGACUUUGAAGAUCUGCCGUGGAAGGCCUCACUCUCCCUGGAGAGCAGAAAGGGGAUGGGAUAGGGGUCUGUGGGGGGCAGGGGAGGAGGGGAGGGAGAGGGAACUGAGAUUGACAUGUAAAACAAGCUUGUUUCUAAUUUAAAUAAAAAAUCUGAGAGAGAAAAAAGAAUGAUGUGGAAGAUUGUCUGUCCUCCAGCCAGACAUUUGUCUGGGAGACAAUAAAUGAAACACACAUCUGUUCACCUCAGAAAGGGAAACCUCCAACAGUCUAAAGUAAUGACUGCACUAAGGUGUGACUUGGUGAACCAGUAAGUUUUUACUGGAGUUACUAACAGGAGUAUGGCUAAGGGGUGACUCACAAGAAGCAGGGAGAACUCAAAAGCAGCUGCAUCACCAAAGCCCACCUCAGCAUGGGUGAUGUUCACAAAGACUGCAAGUAACCUUGGAGCUCUUUUCAGCUUGCAGGUAGCUCGAUAGUGUGAGAUGUUCUUUCCUCUGAACUUGAUAGUGGGAGAUGCUCUUUCCUCUGAACUUGUUUUUUCCAGUCUCCAAACCCAGCAGUUGUUUGCUUCUUUUUCUAAAUGCUAGUGAGACCCUCAAGAACCUUCCAGUUUUGUUCUCCCAAAUAUAUGUCUGCUCACAAGACUUCCUGAUGCCUCCUGCACAGAAUGUUUCAAUUGGAGGAAACCAUCACACAAAAGCAUGCAGUGCACAUGUGCCUACAUUAAAACAUGUGUGGGCAGAUACAUUCUCACACACAUGCACUUACCCUGCCAUACCCAAGAAAAUAAAUUCUUUCAUUUGCAACAGCACAGAUGAAACAUGUAUGACGUGAAAUCAGCUAGUCCUGCACAGGAACAAUUCUCUAUCUUCUCACAUGUUGUAGGAAUCUAAGUCAAUCAAAUUCAUGGUGGCAGAGUUGAAUGAUGUACCUGGAAGGUAUAGAGAAUGGAGAGAUGGUAAAGUGAGUUGAAUUUUCAAUUAGAUGGGAGGAGGGACUUUUUGAGAUUACUGCAAUGGAUGGGGACUACUAUUAACAACAGGCUGCCAUAUGUUUCAAAAUCUCUAAGGAAACAUUUCAAAUGUUCACAGCAGAAAACACCAGUAUUUUAGCUGUCAGGUAAGUUAGUUCUCUUGAUUUCAUCAUUCCAUAUUGCACAC
rnacentral:lncRNA from 1 species